rnacentral:rRNA from 1 species
GACAGAGGGGGCAAGCGUUGUUCGGAAUUACUGGGCGUAAAGGGCGCGUAGGCGGCCUUCUAAGUCGAACGUGAAAUCCCUGGGCUCAACCCAGGAACUGCGUCCGAUACUGGAAGGCUUGAAUCCGGGAGAGGGAUGCGGAAUUCCAGGUGUAGCGGUGAAAUGCGUAGAUAUCUGGAGGAACACCGGUGGCGAAGGCGGCAUCCUGGACCGGUAUUGACGCUGAGGCGCGAAAGCCAGGGGAGCAAACGGG